GCGGGAGGAGGAAGGAGGAGAAGCAAAGUUGGCCAGGGUCCUGCUGGCUGGGGGCCAGGACUGCCUCCCUAAACAAGCAGGCGGGGGCACAUAUAGCCCUGGGUUGAGUUGUUGCCCUUACUCAUCUGGCCACAGCAGGAAGAAGAGGCGCCCGGAAAACCUUAGCUCUUGGCUAUCUCUUCCCUGAGCACACCCUGGCCUUGGGGCCUGAGAUCUCUCCAUGCAGGGGCAACCAUGAGCUCCGGGGGCAGCAGCAAGGCUGGCCACACCACCCGUCAGCCACCUCCAGCCCCGCCGCUCAACCAGCCAUCAGUCCCUUAACUGCCAGUGUUCGUGGACCAUGCAAAACAACCAACCUGUGAAAUGGCGAGUGUUCUCAUCAUGCUUUCUUCUCUUUCUCAAGAGCCGUCAGCUCUACCAAGCACACAUUUAGAACUAUAAAUUUCCAGUCCCAGCUACUCAGGAGACUGAGGCACAAGAAUUGCUUGAACCUGAGAGGUAGAGGUUGCAGUGAGCCAAGAUCGCACCACUGCACUCCAGCCUGGGCGACAGAGGGAGACUCUGUCAAAAAAAAAACAGAAAGAAGAAAGAAAGAAAAGAAAAGAAAGAAGAAAGAAGAAAGAAAGAAAGAAAAAGAGAAAGAAGAAAAAAGGAAGGAAGGAAGAAAGGAAGGAAGGAAGGAAGCAAGGGACGAACUACAAAUUUCCCUCUAAUCAGUGUCUUCACUUUAUUCCCAAAUUUUUGGUAUGCUGUGUUUUCAUCUUCAUUCAUCUCUAAGUAUACUCUAACCUCCUUUUUAAUUUCUUCUUUGACUCAUUGGUUGCUUAUGUCAUUUAACUUCCACAUAUUUGCAAAAUUUCCAGUUUUCCUUUAGUUAUUGACUUCACUGCAUGUGGUCGAGGAAGAUACUUUGUAUGGUUUCAAUGUUUAAAAAAUUUAUUGGGACUUGUUUUAUGACCUAACAUAUGGUCUAUUCUGGAGAAUGUUUCAUUUGCACUUCAGAAGAAUGUGUGUUUUGAGAAGAAUAUGUAUUCUGCUGUUGUUGAGUGGAGUGUUCUAUAUUUGUUGGUCUAGCUGGUUUAUGGUGCUGUUCAAAUCCUCUACUUUCUUAUUCAUCUUCUGUCUAUCCAUUAUUUAGAAUAGGGUAUUGUGUCUUCCACUGUUAUUUUAGAACAGUGUAUUUCUUCCUUCAUUUCUGUCAGCUUAUUUCAUAUUUUGAGGUUUUAACUGUUUGUUGCACCUAUGUUUAUAAUAAUUAUACAUUAUUAAUGAAUUGACCCUUUUAUCAAUAUAUAAUUUCAUUCUUUGUUUCUUGUAACACUUUGUUUUGUUUGAUACAUAUAUUGCCACCCAGCUAUCUUUUGGUUACUAUUUGCAUGGAAUGCUUUUUCUCCAUCCUUUUAUGUUCAACCUAUUUGUGUCUUUGAAUAUAAAGUGAGACUGUUGUAGACAGACAACAUAUAGUUGGAUCAUGUUUUCUAACUAUCCUGCCAAUUUCUGCCUUUUGAUUGGAUGAUUUAAUCAAUUUACAUUUAAAGUGAUUACUGAUAUGGAAGAACUUACUUCUACCUUUUUGCUGUUUGAUUUUUGUAUUUCUUUUUCCCUUUUAAAUAAUUUUUAUCUCUUUAUUGAUAUUAAAAAUUUCAAAUAUAUACCUGUCCUGAUUUUCUUUAGUACUUUG